GCAGCCGAGCGGUAUUGUUUCUUCGGAAUGAGAGAGCGGCGUACGGGUGCGGAACACGUGUGCAACCUGCCUUUAUCUGGGGGAUAGCCUUUCGAAAGGAAGAUUAAUACCCCAUAAUAUAUUGAAUGGCAUCAUUCGAUAUUGAAAACUCCGGUGGAUAGAGAUGGGCACGCGCAAGAUUAGAUAGUUGGUGAGGUAACGGCUCACCAAGUCUACGAUCUUUAGGGGGCCUGAGAGGGUGAUCCCCCACACUGGUACUGAGACACGGACCAGACUCCUACGGGAGGCAGCAGUGAGGAAUAUUGGACAAUGGGUGAGAGCCUGAUCCAGCCAUCCCGCGUGAAGGACGACGGCCCUAUGGGUUGUAAACUUCUUUUGUAUAGGGAUAAACCUACUCUCGUGAGAGUAGCUGAAGGUACUAUACGAAUAAGCACCGGCUAACUCCGUGCCAGCAGCCGCGGUAAUACGGAGGGUGCAAGCGUUAUCCGGAUUUAUUGGGUUUAAAGGGUCCGUAGGCGGAUUUGUAAGUCAGUGGUGAAAUCUCACAGCUUAACUGUGAAACUGCCAUUGAUACUGCAAGUCUUGAGUGUUGUUGAAGUAGCUGGAAUAAGUAGUGUAGCGGUGAAAUGCAUAGAUAUUACUUAGAACACCAAUUGCGAAGGCAGGUUACUAAGCAACAACUGACGCUGAUGGACGAAAGCGUGGGGAGCGAACAGGAUUAGAUACCCUGGUAGUCCACGCCGUAAACGAUGCUAACUCGUUUUUGGGUUUUCGGAUUCAGAGACUAAGCGAAAGUGAUAAGUUAGCCACCUGGGGAGUACGUUCGCAAGAAUGAAACUCAAAGGAAUUGACGGGGGCCCGCACAAGCGGUGGAUUAUGUGGUUUAAUUCGAUGAUACGCGAGGAACCUUACCAAGGCUUAAAUGGGAAAUGACAGGUUUAGAAAUAGACUUUUCUUCGGACAUUUUUCAAGGUGCUGCAUGGUUGUCGUCAGCUCGUGCCGUGAGGUGUUAGGUUAAGUCCUGCAACGAGCGCAACCCCUGUCACUAGUUGCCAUCAUUAAGUUGGGGACUCUAGUGAGACUGCCUACGCAAGUAGAGAGGAAGGUGGGGAUGACGUCAAAUCAUCACGGCCCUUACGCCUUGGGCCACACACGUAAUACAAUGGCCGGUACAGAGGGCAGCUACACAGCGAUGUGAUGCAAAUCUCGAAAGCCGGUCUCAGUUCGGAUUGGAGUCUGCAACUCGACUCUAUGAAGCUGGAAUCGCUAGUAAUCGCGCAUCAGCCAUGGCGCGGUGAAUACGUUCCCGGGCCUUGUACACACCGCCCGUCAAGCCAUGGAAGUCUGGGGUACCUGAAGUCGGGACCGAACAG
rnacentral:rRNA from 1 species